rnacentral:rRNA from 1 species
UACGUAGGAUCCAAGCGUUGUCCGGAUUUACUGGGUGUAAAGGGUGCGCAGGCGGCAUGGUAAGUCAGAGGUGAAAUCUCAUCGCUCAACGGUGAAACUGCCUUUGAUACUAUCAUUCUUGAGUCCGAUAGAGAUCUGUGGUAUUCCGAGUGUAGCAGUGAAAUGUGUAGAUAUUCGGAAGAACACCAGUGGCGAAGGCAGCAGAUUGGGUCGGUACUGACGCUCAGGCACGAAAGCAUGGGGAUCAAACAGG